AAGACUAUGUAAACCACCAAACUGGCCA
rnacentral:piRNA from 1 species